GACUAUGUGGAUCCAGAAUAGGUCUUCACGAUCAUUUACAAAUCCACCGCUAAGACUGUACCUCUGAAAAACAAUCAUACACAGCUAUGAGUGAUAGCCCACAAUAAUAUAGCAGUGUAGAUGCAGCCUACAUCACAAUGGUGCUCUGAGAGGGCUUAUAGAUGCAACCACACAGAGGGAAAGUGUUUAAGCACAGUAGCCUAGUUGUAAGGGAAGAUAAAUUCGUAACCAGGCCAGACUCAGCACCUUCAGGCUGCAGCCGCUCCCUGUACUCUAAUCAGGAAGAAAAUCCCGAGGGGAAAUAGUUCAAUUUGCAACAUCCAUGAAGGAUUCUCUGCCCAGCAACCAUCAAGAAUGUGACAGAGGGAGACAUUCAAAGACUAACCAAAUGCAGCGCUUGCUCACCAUGCUGUGUUCCUGAUAAAUAUGCCUCUUCCCAUCAGCAGCUGCUCUUUCCUAGUAGCCAAACUAUGCAUGCUGACAAGGCUUUGCUUAAUCAGGCCUUUCUAUAAAGCUCGUUGGAAUCUCAUCAAUACACUGUUGGUGGGGAAGCAGACCCAGAAGGUUUGGCGACACCACCAUUCUGCCCAAUUUCUUUUUGGAGCAUGCGGAGGGGUGGCUGGACAGGAUAUUAGCCAGAAGCACAGCACCCACUGAAGCUCACUGGUAGGUAAUAAGUCUCGGAUUUGAAGAUAUCUGAAUGGUCCCUCAAAACACACACACACACACAUACACUCUCUCUCACACACAAACCACUAUAGCAUAUGACAGAAAACAGCCACAG